UACGGAGGGUGCAAGCGUUGUCCGGAAUCACUGGGCGUAAAGGGCGCGUAGGCGGCUCACUAAGUCACUUGUGAAAUCCUGGGGCUCAACUCCAGGGCUGCAGGUGAGACUGGAGGGCUGGAGCUCGGUAGAGGCGAGUGGAAUUCCCGGUGUAGCGGUGGAAUGCGUAGAUAUCGGGAAGAACACCGGUGGCGAAGGCGGCUCGCUGGACCGAUGCUGACGCUGAGGCGCGAAAGCGUGGGGAGCAAACAGG
rnacentral:rRNA from 1 species